rnacentral:rRNA from 1 species
AUUGAACGCUGGCGGCAUGCUUUACACAUGCAAGUCGAACGGCAGCGCGGGCUUCGGCCUGGCGGCGAGUGGCGAACGGGUGAGUAAUGCAUCGGAACGUGCCCAGUAGUGGGGGAUAGCCCGGCGAAAGCCGGAUUAAUACCGCAUACGACCUGAGGGUGAAAGCGGGGGACCGAAAGGCCUCGCGCUAUUGGAGCGGCCGAUGUCGGAUUAGCUAGUUGGUGGGGUAAAGGCUUACCAAGGCGACGAUCCGUAGCUGGUCUGAGAGGACGACCGGCCACACUGGGACUGAGACACGGCCCAGACUCCUACGGGAGGCAGCAGUGGGGAAUUUUGGACAAUGGGGGCAACCCUGAUCCAGCCAUGCCGCGUGCGGGAAGAAGGCCUUCGGGUUGUAAACCGCUUUUGUUCGGGAAGAAAUCCUCUGGGCUAAUACCCCGGGGGGAUGACGGUACCGGAAGAAUAAGCACCGGCUAACUACGUG